rnacentral:rRNA from 1 species
UCCCUGGUUGAUCCUGCCAGUAGUCAUAUGCUUGUCUCAAGAUUAAGCCAUGCAUGUCUCAGUGCAUGCCGAGCUAAGGUGAAACCGCGAAUGGCUCAUUAAAUCAGUUAUGGUUUCUUAGAUCGUACCCACAUUUACUUGGAUAACUGUGGUAAUUCUAGAGCUAAUACAUGCAAACCAGAGUUCCAACCAGAGAUGGGAGGAACGCUUUUAUUAGAUCAAAACCAAUCGGUGGCGUUUGUUAAUACAUUCGUCCACCGUUUACUUUGAUGACUCUGAAUAACUUUGAGCUGAUCGCACGGUCCUAGCACCGGCGACAAGUCUUUCAAAUGUCUGCCUUAUCAACUGUCGAUGGUAGGUUCUGCGCCUACCAUGGUUGUAACGGGUAACGGGGAAUCAGGGUUCGAUUCCGGAGAGGGAGCCUGAGAAACGGCUACCACAUCCAAGGAAGGCAGCAGGCGCGCAAAUUACCCACUCCCGGCACGGGGAGGUAGUGACGAAAAAUAACGAUACGGGACUCAUCCGAGGCCCCGUAAUCGGAAUGAGUACACUUUAAAUCCUUUAACAAGGAUCCAUUGGAGGGCAAGUCUGGUGCCAGCAGCCGCGGUAAUUCCAGCUCCAAUAGCGUAUAUUAAAGUUGUUGCGGUUAAAAAGCUCGUAGUUGAAUCUGUGUUUCACACUGUCGGUUCACCGCUCGCGGUGUUUACUGGCAUGAUGUGGGACGUCCUACCGGUGGGCUUAGCCCUUCGGGGCGGUCCACUAAUAUCCCAUCGCGGUGCUCUUCAUUGAGUGUCGAGAUGGGCCGGUACGUUUACUUUGAACAAAUUAGAGUGCUUAAAGCAGGCUAGCCUCGCCUGAAUACUGUGUGCAUGGAAUAAUGGAAUAGGACCGCUUCGGUUUUUGUUGGUUUUCGGAACUCCGAGGUAAUGAUUAAUAGGGACAGAUGGGGGCAUUCGUAUUGCGACGUUAGAGGUGAAAUUCUUGGAUCGUCGCAAGACGGACAGAAGCGAAAGCAUUUGCCAAAAAUGUUUUCAUUAAUCAAACGAAAGUUAGAGGUUCGAAGGCGAUCAGAUACCGCCCUAGUUCUAACCAUAAACGAUGCCAGCUAGCGAUCCGCCGAAGUUCCUCCGAUGACUCGACGGGCAGCUUCCGGGAAACCAAAGCUUUUGGGUCCGGGGGAAGUAUGGUUGCAAAGCUGAAACUUAAAGGAAUUGACGGAAGGGCACCACCAGGAGUGGAGCCUGCGGCUUAAUUUGACUCAACACGGGAAACUCACCAGGCCCGGACACCGGAAGGAUUGACAGAUUGAUAGCUCUUUCUUGAUUCGGUGGGUGGUGGUGCAUGGCCGUUCUUAGUUGGUGGAGCGAUUUGUCUGGUUAAUUCCGAUAACGAACGAGACUCUAGCCUGCUAAAUAGGCGUACAUUCUGGUAUCACGAAGGCCCUCGGCUUCGGUCGAGUGGUUUUACUACCAACGUACCAACAAUCUUCUUAGAGGGACAGGCGGCUUUUAGCCGCACGAGAUUGAGCAAUAACAGGUCUGUGAUGCCCUUAGAUGUUCUGGGCCGCACAGCGCGCUACACUGAAGGAAUCAACGUGUUUUCCCUGGCCGAAAGGCCCGGGUAACCCGCUGAACCUCCUUCGUGCUAGGGAUUGGGGCUUGCAAUUAUUCCCCAUGAACGAGGAAUUCCCAGUAAGCGCGAGUCAUAAGCUCGCGUUGAUUACGUCCCUGCCCUUUGUACACACCGCCCGUCGCUACUACCGAUUGAAUGAUUUAGUGAGGUCUUCGGACUGGUGCGCGGCAGUGCCUCGGCACUGCCGAUGUUGCCGGGAAGAUGACCAAACUUGAUCAUUUAGAGGAAGUAAAAGUCGUAACAAGGUUUCCGUAGGUGAACCUGCGGAAGGAUCAUUA